CAAUUCCGGUUGAUCCCGCCGGAGAUCACUGCUAUCAGAAUCCGACUUAGACAUGCGAGGUUUAUGGUCUUCGGACCAUGCCGAACUGCUCAGUAACACGUAGUUAACCUACCCUCAGGACGGGGAUAACCUCGGGAAACUGAGGAUAAUACCCGAUAGGCAAAAGAUACUGGAAGGUUCUUUUGCCCAAAGCUUCGGCGCCUGAGGAUGGGACUGCGGCGGAUUAGCUUGUUGUUGGGGUAACUGCCCAACAAGGCUAUAAUCCGUACGGGUCGUGAGAGCGAUAGCCCGGAGAUGGAUUCUGAGACAUGAAUCCAGGCUCUACGGAGCGCAGCAGUUACGAAACCU
rnacentral:rRNA from 1 species